UUUCACAUACAGUGAAAGACUUAUGCGGAUAACCACCGCGUAGCCAGGAGAACUGGCAUUGGACUCCCUAAAAAGGAGAAAACAAAUG
rnacentral:ncRNA from 1 species